GAGCAGGUAGGGUUGACAAGAGCAGGUUAAUACAGGUAGGGUAGAUAACACAGGUGACAGCAGGUAGGGUAGACAGAGCAGGUAGGGUAUAUAACACAGGUGACAGCAGGUAGGGUAGAGAGCAGGUUAAUACAGGUAGGGUAGACAGAGCAGGUAGAGUAGAUAACACAGGUGACAGCAGGUAGGGUAGACAGAGCAGGUAGGGUGAAUAACACAGGUGACAGUAGGUAGGGUAGAGAGCAGGUUAAUACAGGUAGGGUAGACAGAGCAGGUAGGGUAGAUAACACAGGUGACAGCAGGUAGGGUAGACAGAGCAGAUAGGGUUGACAAGAGCAGGUUAAUACAGGUAGGGUAGACAGAGCAGGUAGGGUAGACAAGAGCAGGUUAAUACAGGUAGGGUGGACAGAGCAGGUAGGGUAGACAAGAGCAGGUUAAUACAGGUAGGGUGGACAGAGCAGGUAGGGUAGACAAGAGCAG
rnacentral:lncRNA from 1 species